rnacentral:lncRNA from 1 species
UUUGGGUGGAGCUAGAGUUCUAAGGGUUGGAUGUGGUUAGUAGGUGCCUGAUUUGGUGGGAUUAGGUUGGUUAGAGGAUAUUAGGGAUAUUUUAUUAAAAUAUUUUUUUAAUUUUUAUUUUCUUUUCCCAAAAACUUUUCUCGACAUUUUUCUGUUCUCCUCCUGUCAAAAUUUCCUUUUUCUUUUCUUUCUGAUUUCUGUCAUAACCUCCCUUUCAAAUCGAGGUGUUUCAAUCUUUCUGUUUUUUGUACGGCUUGGUAAGUACUGGUGGAAAGGUCUUGCUCGGGUUAGGGGAGAAUUCUUUUAAAGCGGUUUUUCUUUUUUUACGAUGCUGCCUUUUGUUUUUUCAUUAGUUUUGAUUUUGAGUUGUUGGCAAUAACAAAUCGUGAGGAACGGAGCUCUCCUCUUGUAGAACCGUAGAAUCAGGAUCAUUCGAG